GACAUCAUCUCUCCCUCAGUCUUCUCUUUGGAUACAAUCCAAGCGUUGGUUGUGGACUGGUAUUUCUCAAGCAUGGUGUCAACUUUGCUCUACCCUGACAAGGAUGCCAUCUCUCCCUCAGUCUUCUCUUUGGAUACAAUCCAAGCAUUGGUUGUGGACUGGUAUUUCUCAAGCAUGGCGUCAACUGCAGUAGCUGUCUUCUCAGGGAGUCUCAAUUGUCCUCAUUGUUGCCACUUUCUUCCCAGGUUAUACAGGACUCAGGAGGAUCGGCAAUAUUGAAUUCAAAUGUCCAGAUUUGGACACGUGGAAAAAGACAUCAUUGUACUAGAGCUGGGAAAAGAAGCAGAGAAAUUCUGAAGUGAGAAGUGAAAAUACUGAAGAUGCAAGUGUUGAAGAAGACUCAAGAAGAUGAUGUUACGGACAAACCUGGGUAUCUGCCCCUUGGCUGUCAUCCCAUGUACCCAGGCACAACGCCAUCCAUCACUGCUUGAUCUCAAGUUUCAGGACACAUAGCCCACUUCUGACAGGAAGCGUCAGACACUUUGAAGCUAUAUUCAUGCGUUCACGUCAGAAAUCUAUGAAUGGCUUACUAAGGAAUGAGAAUGGGGCCAGCGAGAAGAAGGCGAGGGCAUUGGAUGUGCAAGCUUGACCACCUGACCUUGAGCCCUGGCACCCAGAGGGGAGCUGACUCUCCGAGGUCAUCCUCUGACCUCCACACAUGCAUUGCGAUGUGUGUUCACUUGCGCUGUCCCCUAUAUGAUGCGCAUGCAUGAUUAUAAUACAAUUCAAA